rnacentral:rRNA from 1 species
GACAGAGGGUGCGAGCGUUGUUCGGAAUUACUGGGCGUAAAGCGCGCGCAGGCGGAUCCUGUAAGUCGGAAGUGAAAUGUCAGUGCUCAACCCCGGGACUGCGUCCGAUACUCCCGAGCUGGAGGCAGGUAGGGGAGAUCGGAAUUCCUGGUGUAGCGGUGAAAUGCGCAGAUAUCAGGAGGAACACCGGUGGCGAAGGCGGAUCUCUGGGCCUUGCCUGACGCUGAGGCGCGAAAGCGUGGGGAGCGAACAGG